rnacentral:lncRNA from 1 species
GUACCAUACUUUCCUUCGAAUAUUUCAUUCACAGAAGCCUUCUACUACUUUCAAGAAAACUUAUACAAAAUGAAAUUGCGUAAGUUCCGGCAUCCAGAAGAGAGCAAUUGGCGUUCGGUCCACAGUCCAAGAGAAAGGCGUAGCACGUUUCACGAGAAGUAUGGGAUCGAUAUCGAAAUUCCCUACCCAAUCUUCGUAUCUCCAUUUUUUCAGCGAGGACUUCCACGCUCAUUGAAUUAUGGUGGCAUCGGCGGUACAAUUGCUCGCGAGCUGGGUUCUACCUUCAGCAUCGAUGGUAAACCGUAUACAGCAAGAGUAUAAAACACUUGUGUCAAACCAAUUCCCGCGAACGUUUAGAAACAACGCUUCAUGCUUGGAACAAAAAUACAAAGCGGCCAACAAUGAAACGCUUCGGGAACAUCAUCUUGACCGUCAAGUACCCCAAAUUUGGCCAGGAGCGGAUCAAGCCCUUGCUGACAACACUGGCCUUCAGAUCGCUUUCAAAGCAUACUGCAGAGUACUUGAAGACGUAGAGAGACGCCUAACAGGUCUGGAAAACAUCACAGGAAUGCAGCUGUUCUUCAUUUCUAAUGCUAGGACUCAGUGCAGGAUCACUCACACGGAUACGCUCUACGACGAUAUAGCAGUACGGUGGCCUUACACCCCUGCGCGAAACAGGGUCAACGAGGCCAUGAAAAAUUUGGAAGGGUUUGCUAAGGCGUUCAACUGUUCACUUGGCUCCCCAAUGCGUCCAAACAAAACCUGCCCUUUUUGGUGAAAGAGAUUCGGACGACGAGAGCAUGAAGAAACUGUUUUGAAAAGUUAAAUAAAUAAAUACUAUCAAUACGCA